rnacentral:rRNA from 1 species
CCUACGGGAGGCUGCAGUGAGGAAUAUUGGUCAAUGGGCGCGAGCCUGAACCAGCCAAGUAGCGUGAGGGAAGACGGUCCUAUGGAUUGUAAACCUCUUUUGUCUGGGAGCAAAAGAAGCCACGUAUGGCGUUCCGAGUGUACCAUAAGAAAACGCAUCGGCUAACUCCGUGCCAGCAGCCGCGGUAAUAGGGAGGAUCCGAGCUGUAUCCGGCUUUAUUGGGUUUACAGGGUGCGCAGGCGGAGGGUCAAGUCAGUGGUAAAAGUGAGAGGUUAAACCGAGUAUAGCAGUUUAAACUGGUUGUGUUGAGUGAACUAGAGGUAUGCGGAAUUCGUGGUGUAGCGGUGAAAUGCUUAGAUAUCACGAAGAACUCCGAUUGCGAAGGCAGCAUACCGGCGCUCAACUGACGCUGAUGCACGAAAGUGUGGGUAUCGAACAGGAUUAGAUACCCUUGUAGUC